UCAAAAUUAAAACCUCAAAUAAAAACAUCAUGUACGAAUUAUUUUUUUAACAAUAUAUUAUUAUUAAUAAUCGAUCCGUAAACGGAAAUAAGUACAACUCACACAAAAUUACACAAUUCAACCAUAUUGUAUCUACCUUUGCUCAACCUAUAUUCCGGCGCGUUCUGGUAAAUCGAAUCAAGUAUCCUCAUGCAUCAAUUACUGUUCUGUGCCUUUGACGAUGGCCACGGGAAGGAGAGAUUCACCUUGUUGCUUCGGAGUAGCUAGUUUUUUUAUAUAAAUUUUGUCUUAGAAUGCAUCGAAACCUUCAUUGAAUCACCAAAAUGAAACUGAAAAAAGAAAACCAAAGACUAACCAAGUAGCAAUCUUAGACCGGCUGUACACACUUUUCUCAAACGCCAAAUAUCGGAGCAGAUAAUGAACCCAAGAUGGACUCCUCACCGGCUCCGAAAAAAAAACAAGCCGCAAGGACCGAUGAGCCAAAAUGCCUCUGCUAAAACAAACCUGCAGAAGACGGGCACAAAACAGCAACUAUUCUAGCACCAGAUAAAAAUCAACGACAUGCAAAAGUAAUAGAAACAACAUUGUCAAGACUGCUUGAUAACAUCAGAAGGCACUAGGAUACCGAAGCUCCGCAUUGAGUCACAGAAGGGAGCCAGAGGUUCAUAGACCACACAAACCCCUACUCUCCUCACAACACGCCACUGUCGAGAACCGAGCAGAAGUAACCUUAACCGUCAAAUUGUUGAAAACCAGUGACUAUGGCCAACUAGCCAAACUAUACACGAACAAAGCAACUAGGAAGCUAUCGACAAGCUUCAAGUGUUGAACUGAUACUAGAAUCUAGAAGAGGUAAACAAAAGAAAGAGAGACCACCAGCAAUACAAUGGUGGAGCCAUAGGCGACCCAAACAAACCGAACGCCAAGAACCUCCACCCGGGAACACCGCAAGAUCCAUACACACCAAACAUGUUGGCUAUAACUGUUCCCUCAAGUAACAGAACCUCCGAGGCUGUCAUGUUACGAAAGAGACAGGGCAAAACUCACCGAGACACCAAGGCUGAGUCACUGUGCCAGACAACGCCACCGCUUUGGCAAAGCUAGGAAGCAGAUCCGGAAAUCCACGAGCCAUAAUUCUGAAAGCUUGAAACUUCCUCCAUACGCCGCUGAAAUGCUAGAGAGAAAAGAUGAAAAAGCCCUCAUGAACCCUAAAAACCGAGCCCCUCUGACAGAAACAGAUUUGACUCCGCACUACGACUCCAGAGCGUACAAAGUUCAACCCGGUGUCGAGCCUCUUCGCGAGCAGAGGACUAGCCGUGAAAACCUUCAGAGACAAAAUCGAACAAAGUGAAGAGAAACAGAGGCUACAGAGAAGCCAAAGAAAAAUCGAGCUAGGGAGGAAGAGAAAGCCGCCUCCGGCGCCGCUCGCACGCGCCAUCCGAAUGCCAGAGCACACCAGAUCUGAAAAAUUGAAGUAGAGAUAGAGUUAGGUGAGGAGAGAGAGGAGGGAAAUACUUUGAUCAAGUGCAAUAUUCUUUUUAUGAAUGUUGAUCAAAGUAAAAUACAAUAUAGAUAAUAUAACUGAAUACAACAUUUUUUUGUCAUCUAUUAGAUUAAAACUUGAAUCAAAUAUAUUCUUUCACUAAGUCGAGAAAUAUAUGAUUCCUUUCCGAAAUCAUAAGCCAGCGUGGUAUAAGAUAACACCCGGAUACAAAAGAAAGACCUAAAUCAAA
rnacentral:lncRNA from 1 species